GAUCAUGGCUCAGGAUGAACGCUAGCUACAGGCUUAACACAUGCAAGUCGAGGGGCAGCAUUAUCGAAGCUUGCUUUGAUAGAUGGCGACCGGCGCACGGGUGAGUAACGCGUAUCCAACCUUCCCCUUAGUAGGGCAUAGCCCGUAGAAAUGCGGAUUAAUACCCUAUGUUGUAUUAUGAGGACAUCUGAAAGAUACCAAAGGUUUACCGCUAAGGGAUGGGGAUGCGUCUGAUUAGGUUGUUGGCGGGGUAACGGCCCACCAAGCCUGCGAUCAGUAGGGGUCCUGAGAGGAAGGUCCCCCACAUUGGAACUGAGACACGGUCCAAACUCCUACGGGAGGCAGCAGUGAGGAAUAUUGGUCAAUGGGCGAGAGCCUGAACCAGCCAAGUAGCCGUGCAGGAUGACGGCCCUAUGGGUUGUAAACUGCUUUUAUACAGGGAUAAAGUCGGGGACGUGUCCCCGUUUGUAGGUACUGUAUGAAUAAGGACCGGCUAAUUCCGUGCCAGCAGCUGC
rnacentral:rRNA from 1 species